rnacentral:rRNA from 1 species
UACGUAGGGGGCUAGCGUUGUCCGGAAUCAUUGGGCGUAAAGAGCGUGUAGGCGGCCCGGUAAGUCCGCUGUGAAAGUCCAGGGCUCAACCCUGGGAUGCCGGUGGAUACUGUCGGGCUCGAGUCCGGAAGAGGCGAGUGGAAUUCCGCGUGUAGCAGUGAAAUGCGUAGAGAUGCGGAGGAACACCGAUGGCGAAGGCAGCCCCCUGGGCUGACACUGACGCUCAGGCACGAAAGCGUGGGGAGCAAACAGG